GAUGAACACUGGCGGCGUGCCUAAUACAUGCAAGUCGAGCGAACGGACGAGAAGCUUGCUUCUCUGAUGUUAGCGGCGGACGGGUGAGUAACACGUGGAUAACCUACCUAUAAGACUGGGAUAACUUCGGGAAACCGGAGCUAAUACCGGAUAAUAUUUUGAACCGCAUGGUUCAAAAGUGAAAGACGGUCUUGCUGUCACUUAUAGAUGGAUCCGCGCUGCAUUAGCUAGUUGGUAAGGUAACGGCUUACCAAGGCAACGAUGCAUAGCCGACCUGAGAGGGUGAUCGGCCACACUGGAACUGAGACACGGUCCAGACUCCUACGGGAGGCAGCAGUAGGGAAUCUUCCGCAAUGGGCGAAAGCCUGACGGAGCAACGCCGCGUGAGUGAUGAAGGUCUUCGGAUCGUAAAACUCUGUUAUUAGGGAAGAACAUAUGUGUAAGUAACUGUGCACAUCUUGACGGUACCUAAUCAGAAAGCCACGGCUAACUACGUGCCAGCAGCCGCGGUAAUACGUAGGUGGCAAGCGUUAUCCGGAAUUAUUGGGCGUAAAGCGCGCGUAGGCGGUUUUUUAAGUCUGAUGUGAAAGCCCACGGCUCAACCGUGGAGGGUCAUUGGAAACUGGAAAACUUGAGUGCAGAAGAGGAAAGUGGAAUUCCAUGUGUAGCGGUGAAAUGCGCAGAGAUAUGGAGGAACACCAGUGGCGAAGGCGACUUUCUGGUCUGUAACUGACGCUGAUGUGCGAAAGCGUGGGGAUCAAACAGGAUUAGAUACCCUGGUAGUCCACGCCGUAAACGAUGAGUGCUAAGUGUUAGGGGGUUUCCGCCCCUUAGUGCUGCAGCUAACGCAUUAAGCACUCCGCCUGGGGAGUACGACCGCAAGGUUGAAACUCAAAGGAAUUGACGGGGACCCGCACAAGCGGUGGAGCAUGUGGUUUAAUUCGAAGCAACGCGAAGAACCUUACCAAAUCUUGACAUCCUUUGACAACUCUAGAGAUAGAGCCUUCCCCUUCGGGGGACAAAGUGACAGGUGGUGCAUGGUUGUCGUCAGCUCGUGUCGUGAGAUGUUGGGUUAAGUCCCGCAACGAGCGCAACCCUUAAGCUUAGUUGCCAUCAUUAAGUUGGGCACUCUAAGUUGACUGCCGGUGACAAACCGGAGGAAGGUGGGGAUGACGUCAAAUCAUCAUGCCCCUUAUGAUUUGGGCUACACACGUGCUACAAUGGACAAUACAAAGGGCAGCGAAACCGCGAGGUCAAGCAAAUCCCAUAAAGUUGUUCUCAGUUCGGAUUGUAGUCUGCAACUCGACUACAUGAAGCUGGAAUCGCUAGUAAUCGUAGAUCAGCAUGCUACGGUGAAUACGUUCCCGGGUCU
rnacentral:rRNA from 1 species